AAAGUGGCAAAUCUGGAGGCUAAAAAGUUAGAAAGGCAAGCCCCUAGGGAAUUCAAGGUUACCCCUCGUCACUCUCCCAGAGCUACGAAUGGAUGUUGUAGGGCUGAAAGGAGAGCUCUGACACAGGAUUUAAUGAGAUGUUUUGAUGCCCUUGAAUCGGAGCAGGGUCACGUGGUCGAAGGACAGACAGUAGAUGAAGGAUCAAUGGCUGCACCUACGGGGCCUAGAGGGAGGAAACGCAAGAGAAUGGAGACAGCAGAGGACCAAGACGAGGCAGAGGGAACAUCAUAUGGGCACGAGCCCGUUGAUGAACCCGCUGCGAGUUCGCAAGGUGUCCCAACAACCUCUAGGGCUUCAUAUGGUGAGUACGAAGUUCCACACAACACACAGGGUCAAUUGGUGGCUUGGCUGUGGUUGGAGGCUUGCAACAGCCAUUGGCCUCGCCCAAUCCUUACACAUCACCUCCCAUGGCAUGGCCUGGUGGUUUUUGGCCCCCAAUAAGCCCACAAUGGUUUGGUUGGGGUGUGCCUUAUGCAAAUCCUGCUAAUGCAACACCAGCUAGCGAGGGUAGGAAUUUAAGGGCUAAGCAACAUCCUUCAGUGCCGGAUUCGGGUUACAACACGGCUCCGAUAACCGCAAUUCCAUAUACAGACUAUAGCACGCCUCUGGGUGACCAUUUGACCCGGGCAGUGAAGGAGAAGAUUUGGACAGGACAAUACAUUGAUUUUUAUGAGCUCCUUAACCGGCAGAUUGAGGUCCGUGAGAUAGAUAAAGACGACGAAGAAAUUAAGGAGAAACACAGGCGGAAGAGGCCUGAUAGGAAUUGGGAUAAUUGGGUCACGGGAUUCACUAUAUAUGCAGGGGUACGGGUUAAAACACAACCCUGGAAGGCAUCAGCUCUAUUCCAGUAUUUUGACAUAAUCCGUAGAGCACAAACAGAGUUUGAGGACCUGGCUUGGCUUCGGUACGACGAAGCAUUUAGAAUGAGGAGUGCAAUCAGGCCCGAGCUGAGAUGGGAUGAGACACACCCUGGGCUUUGGUUGCAACGCAUGACACCCGCCAAAUGCAAUUUAGGUGACAGAUUUGACUGUGGUCAUCUGAAUAUAAAAUCCACAGAGGCCACUGAUGCCCAUCAGGGGGAGGGUCAGCCUUGGUGGCCCUGUUAUGAAUUCAAUAAUAAAGGUAUUUGUGCACGGUCCCCAUGCAGGUUUAACCAUGCCUGUAUGGCAUGUGGGGGAAAGCAUCCUAAAAUGAACUGUGUUAAAGCAGGAUCACAGCGGCAAGACAGAUGGGAGGACCUAGCAAGAAAUCAGAAGGGGGUAGUGGUGUUACGGGAAAGGGGACCCACGCCAAUUAAAAUCAGAACUCUAUGGCAUGUGGGGGAAAGCAUCCUAAAAUCAACUGCACUAAAGCAGGAUCACAGCAGCAAGGUAAGAUGGGAGGACCUGGCAAGAAAUCAGAAGGGGGUAGUGGCGUUAAGGGAAAGGGUACCCAAGCCAAUUAGAAUUAGAACUGGGAGAGGGA
rnacentral:lncRNA from 1 species